CGGUCGGCCCACAGCCGCCUGACCUCGAAAUGGGCAACGGAGCGGAGACGUCACGUGCAUUGUUUACGUUCAUUGACCCGGCGGGUUAUCAACGAUGGAAUUUUUCUGUUUUGAUAUUCCAUGACUGACUGAAGAGUCGUGAUAGAAUCAAAUACCAGCAACAAGCUAACCUUCAUAAGCGUGCCUGCAAUUUAUAGUCGCGGUGCCUGGCGCCGCCCGUGCGUCUGUCGUGCCCCCGGGCGGCGGCCGGUCGGCCGGAGCGAGGCUGACCGUCGCGCGCGCGACCUCUUCGCUACCAGCGCUCGGUGAGGGCGGGCGGCACUCGGUGUGGUGAAGAAUUUUAGUUGAAAUACCGCUGUUGUCUUUGAAAGUGCCGGCCUGUCUGAUCAGCCGUCAGGGGCGGCGCCGCCACCCCUCUGUCCCCGGGACGGCCCCAUGUCACACCGACCUCUCAUACUCGCAACGCAUUGCGUUGUUGAUCAGCCGUCUGGGGCGGUGCCGCCACCCCUCUGUGUUCGCUGGACGACCACCGCGGGAGAGCGAGCCCCCGGUCCGGUGUCGGACCGACCUGUCAACAAACAGACUCGGAACGCUCUGUGCGGCAGUACGUGCGCCGCCGUUGGUACCGAGACUAGAAACGUCCAUCUGCCGGUCAAAACUGGACUGCGGCCGACGGGAACUCCAGCUCUCUCCCAGCUCGCGGGUUGGUGAACCAGCCUGAUUGGGAAUCUCCGGUGGCCUCACACCUGGACGAAAGAUAAG